rnacentral:rRNA from 1 species
CUAGCUGCAAACGAUGGAUACUAGGCGUUGAGAGUAUCGACCCUCUCAGUGUCGUAGCUAACGCGUUAAGUAUCCCGCCUGGGGAGUACGCGCGCAAGCGUGAAACUCAAAGGAAUUGACGGGGGCCCGCACAAGCGGUGGAGUAUGCGGUUUAAUUCGAUGCAACGCGAAGAACCUUACCAGGGCUUGACAUGUCCGGAACCCUGCCCAAAGGCGGGGGUGCCUACGGGAACCGGAACACAGGUGGUGC